CCCACCGGUUGCCGAACAAGCAUUGCUCUCGUGCGAUUAUUCAAAAAAAAAAAACACUGCUCUCGUGCGAUUCCCCCAACCCAAAAUUUCAGCGCGAAACGCUAGAUCGGGUGGGAUGGCGUCCGGCGGCAUCGCCCGCAGCCGCCUCGCCGAGGAGCGCAAGACGUGGCGCAGGAGCCACCCCCAUGGGUUCGUGGCGAAGCCGGAGACGCUGCCGGAUGGGUCCGUCAACCUCCUGGUCUGGAAGUGCGUCGUCCCCGGCAAGGAAGGCACUGACUGGGAGGGCGGAUAUUUCCCGCUGACUCUGAAUUUUCCUGAAGAUUACCCAAGCAACCCUCCUGUCUGCAAGUUCCCAGCAGGGUUCUUCCAUGUCAAUGUCUACCCUACUGGAGCAGUGUGCCUAUCAAUACUCAGCAGUGCAUGGAAAGCUUCCAUCACAGUUAGUCAAAUCCUCAUAGGCAUCCAGGAGUUGCUUGAUAAUCCUAAUCCAGCGUCUCCUGCACAGGAUCCUUGUUGUCGGCUCUACAAAAAGAAUAAGCAUGCGUACAAGGAUCGUGUUCGUCAGCAGGCAAAGCAAUAUCCUUCACUUCUGUAGGCGUGUAGCCAUGAACCAAUUGAGGGAAAGAUUCUGGCAGCUGACCAUUACUCAUUUUGGUGGAGCCUGUUGCUAUUGCAAAAACCUGUAACCCUCAUGUGGUGUGGCAAAUUGGCAACAUAGCAGUAGUUGCAUUGUUGUUGCUGCUAGACUGCACUUGGAGCACAUCGCAGAACAGGCAGCUCUGAUCCAGCCCAAAUUGGUGAACGACAGCAGCCUGAGUGGGCCUGACCUGAAGGUGCUCCCAAUCAUCCAACUCACAAUCUGGGAGACCACCAUUCUUGGUUACAAGUCAACAAAGUUUCUAGCUUUGUUAAUUCUGCUUCUGUACUUGCACUAACCCUUGAUUUGAAAUACCCUGAUGGGCUCUCACCCUCCCUGCUGGAUCCAGACUGGUAUUCGUGCCAAUUAACAAGAGACGGGGCCAGUUCAUGAGGACAGUGACAAAUGCAGGGGCAUUUCGUGAGGACGGAAACAACAGAAAGCGAUUAAACAUACGUCGAUGGGGUUCACUGCACCCGGGUGGAUGUUAUGCCGGAGCAAGCUGUGCGCGCGGCCACUGGAUCGCGGAACCGAUGGUCCGGAUCAGAGCGAGGACCAGAAGAGGUCGUUGCCAGCACAAUCAAAUCGUGUCCAGGUGACGUGGCUCGGGAGAAAAAGACUGAGCCGACCUCCACCUGGACACCAUCAGAUCAGACCGCAGCCCGCAGGGCAACGUUCAGGAGCUCAGCCGUUGGCAGAUCUUUCAUGAUUUUCAUCUGCUCCUAAUACGAAGUUCAGUAUUGUAGGAGGAUUAUUCCUGAGCACACGUCGCCAGGAAAAACGAAGAACCCAACGUUCUCUUUCCGGGACAAAACUUGCGUCGGAAAACGAUACAACAGAGCUAUUUAUUAUGAGCACGAUACAGCAGAUCAGGAAUGGUCCAUGUUUCGCCCGUCUUUCGAAGGGAAAAUGCAAGUGGAAAGGGAUGCCUCAUUCUUUGGAUAA